CCCCGCCUGGGGAGUACGGGUGAGGUAACGGCUCACCAAGGCAUUGACGGGUAGCUGGUCUGAGAGGAUGAUCAGCCACACUGGGACUGAGACACGGCCCAGACUCCUACGGGAGGCAGCAGUGGGGAAUAUUGCACAAUGGGCGAAAGCCUGAUGCAGCAACGCCGCGUGCGGGAAGACGGCCCUAGGGUUGUAAACCGCUUUCAGCAGGGAAGAAAAUGACGGUACCUGCAGAAGAAGGUGCGGCCAACUACGUGCCAGCAGCCGCGGUGACACGUAGGCACCAAGCGUUGUCCGGAUUUAUUGGGCGUAAAGAGCUCGUAGGCGGUUCAGUUAGUCGGGUGUGAAAACUCUGGGCUCAACCCAGAGACGCCACUCGAUACUGCUGUGACUAGAGUGCGGUAGGGGAGCGGGGAAUUCCUAGUGUAGCGGUGAAAUGCGCAGAUAUUAGGAGGAACACCAGUGGCGAAGGCGCCGCUCUGGGCCGUAACUGACGCUGAGGAGCGAAAGCGUGGGUAGCAAACAGGAUUAGAUACCCUGGUAGUCCACGCCGUAAACGUUGGGCACUAGGUGUGGGUCUCAACCAACGAGAUCCGCGCCGUCGCUAACGCAUUAAGUGCCCCGCCUGGGGAGUACGG
rnacentral:rRNA from 1 species